rnacentral:lncRNA from 1 species
AUGAGCGCCAACCCCCAGUGGGACAUCAGCAGGGCGCUGAGGGUGGCCAGGCUCUUCCACCUGGUGUGUGGAGUCCGGGAUGCCUGCGUGACCCCGUUCCUGACCCUCUACCUGCGGCAGCUGGGCCUGGCCGCGCCCUGGGUGGGCAUCCUCAUGGGAACCAAGCACCUCAUCGCUGCCUUCUGGGCUCCCUUCUGUGCCUUCCUGGCCAGAAGCCACCAGAAGCGGAGGGUGCUCAUGACCGCCUCGCUUCUGGGCUCGGCGGGGGCCAGCCUGUUUAUGGUCCUGGUGCCGCCCCUGGACAGAGACCCAGGGCACCGCCGGUGUAAUGGAAGCCACAGCUUGACCGCCGAGGGCCCACCACCGGGGGUCGCACUAACUGUGACUGUCACCUUGGCCUCAGAGCCAGCCUCCAACUCCCCAGCGGGGGUGCUCAGCCUCCCAGGGGCGAAGAGUUCUGGGGUCGCUGGAACCCGUGGCUUCGGAGAAGGGCCUGGGGAAAGUGGCCAAGAACCUUUCAGUUAUCCACCGGGCUCCUCCGUGGGCUCCACCCAAGGAACCAGGAACAGAUCUGGAGUUCUCCUCCAUCCCGACACUCCAGGAGUGACAGGUUCUACCCGCGAAGGUGCUUUUAGAGUGGUCAGUCCGCCACUCCCUCUGUCUGCUGGGGGCACGGCCCUGGCAAGUCCAGCCAACCAGUCGGCAGCCGAGGGGGACGGCAGGGCCCUCGGCCUCUCCUUGGAAGGGCUGCAGUGGACUUUCAUCCUCUCGCUGGGCUCCGUGGUGCUCUGGGAGCUGCUGACAUCCCCUCUGGAGCAGGUGGCUGACGACAGCCUCUAUGAAUACCUGGAUUUUGUGGACGCCACUGACCGCUACAGAAGCCUAUGGGUGUGGAGGCUGCUGGGCACAUCAGUCGGCGUGUGCGGCAUUGCGGCCUUGGUGGGGCCGCUGGACUGCUUCCUGGCGACCAGUGGCCCGCGGGGCGUGGUGCACUUCUACGGCUACUCCCUGGUCAGCGCCCUGGCUUUACUGGUGAGCAUCGCCUUUCCCGUCCCCGUCUGCCGGCGGCAGGAGCCCAGCUACAGGACGGUCAAAGCCCUGUCCCUCGUGGUCGGCGACCCCCACCUCACCGUCCUGGCCCUCACCAUCUUCUUGACAGGAGGCGCCACCAGUGCAGUGCAGAACUUCCUGUUCUGGCAGAUGAAAGACCACGGGAGCAGCGAGCUGACCAUGGGUUUCUCGGUGGCCCUGGGCUUGCUGGGGGAAAUUACGCUUCAUCCUUUCAAAGCUCCGUUGCUUAGGAAGCUGUCCAGGGUAGGCACGCUGGGGCUGGGGCUGGGCUGCCUGGCGGGGCAGCUGCUGUAUUACUCAUUUCUCUGGAGCUGGUGGUCCGUCCUGCCCGCUCAGAUCUUGAGCGCCCUCAGCCACGGGGCUCUGUGGUGGGCAGUCAGUACCUCCAUAGAGCACCUGGCCACUCCUGGAACAGAGAGACCCCUGAGCGCCGUGUUCCGAGGCCACGUCUGUGGGAGCGGGGCCAGCCUGGGAAGCUUUGUGGGGGGCUUCGUGGUGAUGCGCUUCAGCCUGCCUGUGCUCUACCAGGCCUGCUGCAUCCUCCUGUUGCUCUGGCUGGCCUUAUUCCUGUCCAUCCAGCCCAGACUGCCCCAGGAGCGGAAAAUCAACUACUCCAAGCUGCUGGCUGUGGAGGCCAGUGACACAAGUGACUCUGAGCAGGGGACUGAACGGGACUGGCUAGUGAAGGCCAUGAGGGAGGAACACUCUGACUGGAGGGGCUGA